GGACUGUUUCUAAUUCUCUCACCGUCAGCUACUCACACAGUCUCGCCUCUUGAGAAUUCUGAUCCCUCCUCGGCUCCUCUUGUUUUGUCAUAUAUCUUCCGAGCCAUCGCCGGCGACUAAUUGGCAGCUUCCGUUGUAUUUUCUGAGUUGUGGAUAUGGAUUCAUCAACACUACUAUUUCAGCAUCUCAAGGCAGCGGAACCAUUUUUCCUAUUAGCGGGCCCUAAUGUGAUUGAAUCCGAGGAGCACAUUCUGAGGAUGGCGAAGCACAUCAAGCAUGUGGCAGCCAAAGUUGGUUUGCCACUAGUUUUCAAAUCUAGCUUUGACAAAGCUAACAGAACGUCCUCAAAAUCUUUUCGUGGUCCGGGCAUGGCUGAAGGCUUGAAGAUCUUAGAGAAAGUUAAAAUAGCAUAUGACAUCCCCAUUGUCACUGAUGUGCAUGAAAGUAUUCAGUGUGAAACAGUUGGCCAAGUUGCAGAUAUCAUACAAAUUCCAGCAUUUUUAUGUCGCCAGACAGAUCUGCUGGUCGCAGCAGCGAAGACUGGAAAAAUUAUCAAUAUCAAGAAGGGACAGUUUUGUGCUCCUUCAGUUAUGGAGAAUUCUGCUGAGAAAGUCAGAUUGGCUGGAAAUCCAAAUGUCAUGGUUUGUGAGAGAGGAACAAUGUUUGGCUAUAAUGAUUUGAUUGUUGAUCCACGCAAUUUAGAGUGGAUGAGAGAAGCUAAUUGUCCAGUUGUGGCUGACAUCACACAUUCAUUGCAACAGCCAGCGGGGAAGAAGUUGGAUGGUGGAGGUGUUGCUAGUGGAGGUCUCCGUGAAUUGAUCCCUUGCAUAGCAAGGACAGCAGUUGCUGUUGGGGUGGAUGGUAUCUUUAUGGAGGUUCACGAUGAUCCUCUGAAUGCCCCAGUCGAUGGUCCAACACAAUGGCCUCUACGCAAUUUGGAGGAACUGCUGCAAGAACUCGUGGCAAUAGCAAGAGUAAGCAAGGGGAAGAAACGCAUGAGCAUUGAUCUCACACCAUUCCAUGAUUAGAAAGAGCUUGGGAGCUUUGAGCUUGCUAAAGGCAAGUCAAUAACGAUGUUGAAUGAUAAGUCAUUUUGUUUCACACUUUGUAUUGAGGAACUUAAAAAAAAAAAAUUCUUUAUGUAUGCUACUCUGCAGCUGAAUUUUGUUGUUAUUUUUUACGAGAAACGCUAAGUAUCAGCUA